GUUCUAGUGUAGACAUGAGUGAAAUGGUCUCCAUUUCUAAAUCAACAGCCUGCCACCACCUUCUGCAGUGGCUGAAUUUCCUGGGUGGUCUUUAAGAAUUGCCCCAGGAGGUAGGCAUGUCAUAGUCUAAUCCGGAUGUUACAAAGGGCACACACACGCGAAGAGAAUAUUUUCAUGCCGAAGGACAACUGCACCUUCUCUAUCACGAACACACAGGGGCGGCUGUUUGGGCUUUGAAGAGCAUUAUCAAGUCACACAUUUCUCAAUGCCAGUGGGCAAACAGGGGAAGAAUGAAAGCCAGAGCCUGUAAAAGGAAUCGCUGGACGGCUCGAGGAGUGUAUAAAAUAUGCUCUAGAAUUUUCAGCCUCCUGCAGUGCAAGUGAUUAGCUAAAGAAACACUUUGAACCUGUUAGUUGUACAUCUUUUAAACCAUUUUAAAUUAUGGAAAAGACAGUGCUCAAGAAAUUAAUUAAAGUUUUGGACAAUAAUGCAAUCAGGGAUAUCUGUGUUUGCAGUCUUUUCUCUCUGCUUGCAUACAUCUUUCUCUGUCAAGUACAUCAAACAGCUAAUUAGCCCCAUUUUAAGAGCUUCACUGCUCACAUCACUUAAAAGGAUCUCCAGGCUGCCUUCUUAGAGAAUUCACGCUUACUGUGCAUUGGUUUCCUGAAUGCUUCAUAGACUUGGAAAGAAUCUAUUCCCACACAUUGGAGGAACUUUAGAAGUAGAUGGACUUUUUAUUUCCACAAAUCAAUUUCGCUUGUUUUCUCACUCAUGGUCAACAUUUUAUAAAUACUCUUGUAAGGGUUGAUAAACCUAUUUCACCUGGUAUGUGCUUGUUUUAGUUAAAUACCCUUGGGUUUGCUGAAGACAUCUGAAAAACAUUAGAAUGACUGCUUUUUAUUAAGACAUGUGGUACCAGAAAAAAAUUACGAGAGACGAAACUGUUGCUUUCAUUUAGGAUAAAGCGUUACCAUGACAAAAGUUGGGUGUUUCAAAUACCCAUUUUAGAAAUAACUACAGGUCACAUGAUCUGCAGAUAUCACAUGUUAGCACAUGUUAAAAGUUAUAACCAUAACUAGAGACAGAAUUUCUGACUCACAGCUUCCAUUAAUCUGAACUAUCACAUGUCAUCUCAAGUUGACUAUAAAAAUAACUCAAGACGCCAGAGUGCUUCAAUUAACAGCUGAAAUAUUGUGAUAUUUUAACACAGGUGAUAUAAAGAAUCAGAGCCACGAAUAGAUACGUGGCUAUGAGUUAUAGCUGUUUCCUUGCAGGUUUAACGUGGAGGGCAAAUGCAGAGAACGCUUUCCCUACUCAUAAGCCCAUCAAGCGGGAUACAUGCGGUUGGUUGAGGGAGGAGUGGAGGUGGAUUACACGUCUAUGGUUUCUUCAUCAUCUAAAAAUAUGUAUGAAUAUGACCUGAGGCAAGAAAGGUGGCAGGUAGUUCAAGAACACCCAAGAUGUUUGAAAGAGAGACUCUGGUAUCUUGAGCAGAACAAGGUACCCAGAGGAACCAAGUAAACCCUUGUAAAAUAAGAACAACCGUAUUAGGAGAUAUCCAUGGUGAACUUGGUAUGGUUUAAGCAUGAUUUUAGAUGUUGUAUUUACAUCUUUUUUACAGUUUUAUUGAAACAGAAUUGACAUACUGCACUGUAUUAGGUUGAACGGUACAGCAUGAUGAUUCAAAAAUUCUAAAUACAUUAAUUCAUUGAAUCUUUACAACCACCUUUUGAGGUCAGUACCAUUAUUAUAUAUUAUCAUAAAUUUACCUAUGUAGACACUGAGCUGUAGAGAGUUUAAAUAACUUGUUCAAGGUCACAUAUCCACUAAAUGGUGGAUUUAAUUUUGACCCCAGGCAAUUGGGCUCUGGAAUGCUGCAUUCCUAAAAUCCUGAAGAAAGAAUAAAAGGAAGAAAUAAGAUGGGGAUGGGAAGAAGGGAGAGAAGAAAGAUAGAGGCUAGGAAAUAGCUAUUUGUUUAGGUGACACCUAAUACUACAAUUUUAAUGGAAGGUCAGAAUGUUUAAGGAGUAAAGGAAGGAAUGGUGGGAAGAAGAUUUCCCUGAGGAGUAUGAUAUUUGACCUAUGCUUUUGAAGUGAAUCAUGCUGGAUUUAAGACUUUUUUGCCUUAAAAUUUCAUUAAAACUUAACCCCUAACUAGUAUUAAUGCUUACUAAAGUAUAUUUUCAGACCAAGCAGAAAAUGAUUUCAACAAAAACAAAUAUUAUGGUUUCAAAGGAGAGGGAAUGAAAGCCAGGUUGAUACAUGAACUAUCCAAAUAAAGUGAAGAAAAAUAAAAACACAUGAACACUUAAAGUUUUACUCUUAUUUUACUAGGAGCAUGUUCCUAAGUCCCUAUAUUUCAAAAUUAUGCAGUCAAGACUUGAAGGUUGGCCUCAUGCAGUGUGCCUGAGAAGACCAAUAAAUAAAAAGCCAACUUCAAUGCUUAGCAAUAACACAAAAACAAAAUAUUUGUAGGGUGGUAGUUUACAGAAUGUGGACCUAUGUUUUACUGUGUUCUCUUUGGCUAAAUAAAGUUGUGAGAAACGAGUUUCCACUCCAUCUGGUUUUAGUGCUCUGAACUGGAGGUGUCUGAGCCUUGGGAUGUCUAAGCAAUGCAUAGUCAAAUAAGGGAUUUAGGGAUAGUUUGGGCUAGAGGCUACAUUAACUGUCAUUUAAUGCAACCAUCUGACUUUACGUAUUUAUUUUCUAGGUAAUUUAAAAAAUUUUUAAAUUUUUAAAUUAAAUAUGUUUAUUCUACAAUGUUAUAUUAGUUUCAGGUGUAUAGCAAAGUGAUUCAGUUAUACAUAUACACAUAGCUAUUCUUUUUAAGGUUCUUUUCCAUUAUAGGUUAUUACAAGAUACUGAGUAUAGCUCCUUGUACUAUACAGUAGGUCCUUGUUGUUUAUCUGUUUUAUAUAUACUACCUGUAUCUUCUGAUUCCAAACUCCUAAUUUAUCCCUCCCCUAACCCCUUACACCUUUGGUAACCACAAGUUUGUUUUCUAUGUCUGUGAAUCUGUUU
rnacentral:lncRNA from 9 species